CCUCGGGUGGCUGCAGUAAGGAAUAUUGGUCAAUGGAGGAAACUCUGAACCAGCCAUCCCGCGUGAAGGAUGAAGGGGCUCUGCCUUGUAAACUUCUUUUGUCUGGGGCGAACAAGCUCGAUUUAUCGAGAACUGACGGUACCAGAAGAAUAAGCACCGGCUAACUCCGUGCCAGCAGCCGCGGUAAUACGGAGGGUGCAAGCAUUCUCCGGAAUCACUGGGUGUGAAGGCGGCGUAGUAAGCCAGUGAAGAAAGGCUGUGGCUUAACCAUGGAAUUGCCAUUGAUACUGCAGAGCUUGAAUGAGGUUGAGGUUGGCGGAAUGUGACAUGUAGCGGUGAAAUGCUUAGAUAUGUCAUGGAACACCGAUUGCGAAGGCAGCUGACUGGACCUAUAUUGACGCUGAGGCACGAAAGCGUGGGGAGCGAACAGGAUUAGAUACCCCAGUAGUC
rnacentral:rRNA from 1 species